rnacentral:rRNA from 1 species
AAGGUGAAACCGCGAAAGGCUCAUUAAAUCAGUUAUGGUUCCUUAGGUCGUACCCACAAUUACUUGGAUAACUGUGGUAAUUCUAGAGCUAAUACAUGCAAACUGAGCUCCGACCGGAGACGGAAGGAGUGCUUUUAUUAGAUCAAAACCAAUCGGUGGCGGGUUCGCCCGUUAUCGUACAACUUGGUGACUCUGAAUAACUUUACGCUGAUCGCACGGUCAUCGCACCGGCGACGCAUCUUUCAAAUGUCUGCCUUAUCAACUGUCGAUGGUAGGUUCUGCGCCUACCAUGGUUGUAACGGGUAACGGGGAAUCAGGGUUCGAUUCCGGAGAGGGAGCCUGAGAAACGGCUACCACAUCCAAGGAAGGCAGCAGGCGCGCAAAUUACCCACUCCCGGCACGGGGAGGUAGUGACGAAAAAUAACGAUACGGGACUCAUCCGAGGCCCCGUAAUCGGAAUGAGUACACUCUAAACCCUUUAACGAGGAUCA